rnacentral:rRNA from 1 species
GACGAACGCUGGCGGCGUGCCUAAUACAUGCAAGUAGAACGCUGAAGGAGGAGCUUGCUUCUCUGGAUGAGUUGCGAACGGGUGAGUAACGCGUAGGUAACCUGCCUGGUAGCGGGGGAUAACUAUUGGAAACGAUAGCUAAUACCGCAUAAGAGUGGAUGUUGCAUGACAUUUGCUUAAAAGGUGCACUUGCAUCACUACCAGAUGGACCUGCGUUGUAUUAGCUAGUUGGUGGGGUAAGGGCUCACCAAGGCGACGAUACAUAGCCGACCUGAGAGGGUGAUCGGCCACACUGGGACUGAGACACGGCCCAGACUCCUACGGGAGGCAGCAGUAGGGAAUCUUCGGCAAUGGACGGAAGUCUGACCGAGCAACGCCGCGUGAGUGAAGAAGGUUUUCGGAUCGUAAAGCUCUGUUGUAAGAGAAGAACGAGUGUGAGAGUGGAAAGUUCACACUGUGACGGUAUCUUACCAGAAAGGGACGGCUAACUACGUGCCAGCAGCCGCGGUAAUACGUAGGUCCCGAGCGUUGUCCGGAUUUAUUGGGCGUAAAGCGAGCGCAGGCGGUUAGAUAAGUCUGAAGUUAAAGGCUGUGGCUUAACCAUAGUAGGCUUUGGAAACUGUUUAACUUGAGUGCAAGAGGGGAGAGUGGAAUUCCAUGUGUAGCGGUGAAAUGCGUAGAUAUAUGGAGGAACACCGGUGGCGAAAGCGGCUCUCUGGCUUGUAACUGACGCUGAGGCUCGAAAGCGUGGGGAGCAAACAGGAUUAGAUACCCUGGUAGUCCACGCUGUAAACGAUGAGUGCUAGGUGUUAGACCCUUUCCGGGGUUUAGUGCCGUAGCUAACGCAUUAAGCACUCCGCCUGGGGAGUACGACCGCAAGGUUGAAACUCAAAGGAAUUGACGGGGGCCCGCACAAGCGGUGGAGCAUGUGGGUUAAUUCGAAGCAACGCGAAGAACCUUACCAGGUCUUGACAUCCCUCUGACCGCUCUAGAGAUAGAGCUUUCCUUCGGGACAGAGGUGACAGGUGGUGCAUGGUUGUCGUCAGCUCGUGUCGUGAGAUGUUGGGUUAAGUCCCGCAACGAGCGCAACCCCUAUUGUUAGUUGCCAUCAUUUAGUUGGGCACUCUAGCGAGACUGCCGGUAAUAAACCGGAGGAAGGUGGGGAUGACGUCAAAUCAUCAUGCCCCUUAUGACCUGGGCUACACACGUGCUACAAUGGCUGGUACAACGAGUCGCAAGCCGGUGACGGCAAGCUAAUCUCUUAAAGCCAGUCUCAGUUCGGAUUGUAGGCUGCAACUCGCCUACAUGAAGUCGGAAUCGCUAGUAAUCGCGGAUCAGCACGCCGCGGUGAAUACGUUCCCGGGCCU